rnacentral:rRNA from 1 species
UGCAGUCGGACGUGAAAGUGGGCAACCAUGAGUAAAGUGGCGCACGGGUGAGUAAUACUUAGGUGAUCUGCCAAUUAAUGGGGGAUAACAGGGAGAAAUUCUUGCUAAUACCGCAUAAGCUCGACAAACCUGGGAGUAGUCGAGGAAAGUUGACCUCUAUUUAUAAGUUAACGUUGAUUGAAGAGCCUGAGCGACAUUAGCUAGUUGGUGGGGUAAAGGCCUACCAAGGCGACAAUGUCUAGCUGGUCUGAGAGGAUGGCCAGCCACACUGGAACUGAGACACGGUCCAGACUCCUACGGGAGGCAGCAGUAGGGAAUCUUGCGCAAUGGGGGAAACCCUGACGCAGCAAUACCGCGUGAGUGAGGAAGGUCUUCGGAUUGUAAAGCUCUGUCGUUGGGGAAAAAUGGUUAGUGUUAUAAUACAGCAUUAAUUUGAUGGUACCCAAGAAGGAAACACCGGCUAACUUCGUGCCAGCAGCCGCGGUAAUACGAAGGGUGUAAGCGUUGUUCGGAUUUAUUGGGCGUAAAGCGCGCGCAGGUGGAUUUUUAAGUCAGAUGUGAAAUCUCGGGGCUCAACCCCGAACGUGCGUCUGAAACUGGAGAUCUAGAAUAUUACAGGGGGUAGAGGAAUUUCACAUGUAGGGGUAAAAUCCGUAGAGAUGUGAAGGAACACCAGAGGCGAAGGCGUCUACCUGGGUAACUAUUGACACUGAGGCGCGAAAGCGUGGGGAGCAAACAGGAUUAGAUACCCUGGUAGUCCACGCCGUAAACGAUGAGAACUAGUUUUUGGAGGUAUUGACUCCUUCGGAAACGCAGCUAACGCAUUAAGUUCUCCGCCUGGGGAGUACGGUCGCAAGACUAAAACUCAACAAAUUGACGGGGGCCCGCACAAGCGGUGGAUUAUGU